GCAUGACACUGCAUCUGAUUAUAUUUAAUAAUUAACUACUUAUGUAUAACGGAAAAGCAUUGGUCUUUUAUUCAUUUUGAAACUCUGAUAUAUAUAAAGCUUCGCUUCAAUAACUUUGGCCUCUGAUAUCUCUUGGGAAUCUACUAAAAGCACUAUCAACCUCCAAGUCUACAAAACAUUAGGACAUCAUGAAAGUGUUAAUAAUCUUAGUCUGUCUGUCUGUUUUGAUGAAUGGCAUUAUGAUGGAUGAUCCCAUUGCGUUACCAAGAGGAAUUGAAAUUCGUGAUGAUCCCAUUGCGUUACCAAGAGGAAUUGAAAUUCGUGAUGGUCCCAUUGCGUUACCAAGAGGAAUUGAAAUUCGUGAUGGUCCCAUUGCGUUACCAAGAGGAAUUGAAAUUCGUGAUGAUCCCAUUGCGUUACCAAAAGGAAUUGAAAUUCGUGAUGGUCCCAUUGCGUUACCAAGAGGAAUUGAAAUUCGUGAUCAUCCCAUUGCGUUACCAAGAGGAAUUGAAAUUCGUGAUGAUCCCAUUGCGUUACCAAGAGGAAUUGAAAUUCGUGAUCAUCCAAUUGCGUUACCAAGAGGAAUUGAAAUUCGUGAUGAUCCCAUUGCAUUACCAAGAGGAAUUGAAAUUCGUAGGAACCUCCUUAGAAAGGUAGUAGAUAAUUGGUCUGGUAAAAGAGCAGAGGCUGAGGUUAGAGCUACUCCCAGGAAAACAAUUCUAUUUUAAGAAAAAUGAUUGAAAAAAACAACAAGACACACAUGUAUCUAUGUCUGAAGUGAUGUUUGCAGGGUCAACCAGUACAAAAUUACGUUUUGAGACUAGGCUUUUAAAGAAUACUUUACUUUCUAAUUUAAUUAUUUCUUUUGGGUUUUAUUAAAGUUAGAUUUGAAAAUA